UACGGAGGGGGCUAGCGUUGUUCGGAAUUACUGGGCGUAAAGCGCGCGUAGGCGGACCUGCAAGUCGGGGGUGAAAGCCCGAGGCUCAACCUCGGAACUGCCUUCGAUACUGCGGGUCUCGAGUCCGGGAGAGGUGAGUGGAAUUCCUAGUGUAGAGGUGAAAUUCGUAGAUAUUCGGAGGAACACCAGUGGCGAAGGCGGCUCACUGGCUCGAUACUGACGCUGAGGAGCGAAAGCGUGGGGAGCAAACAGG
rnacentral:rRNA from 1 species